AGGAUCACACCAACUGAGCAUGCUCAGUAACAUCUGCUGCCUUCACUUGGAAUCAGAUUCUGCUGCCGGCUCUUAACAGAUACCAUAGAGACGAGAUAAUUAAGAAUGUGCCUGAAAAAGUAAUUCCUUGUAUGUAUCUUCCUGAAUUCUGAGCCAAGUGGAACAAAGCAUUACAAUCCUACAAGCUGUUAGAAACAACUGACCAGAAAGGUACCAACCCCAUGAUGAAUUGCAUAUACUGGUUCAAACCAAGCCCUGCUUUUGAUCCAACAAAUUGACAUGAUUCUAAUAAUGUAAACUUGGGACUUCAUAUUCUCUACAAUCAACAGUGGAUUUCCCACUGAUCUAAGUGAGAAAUUUGCACAGAACUCAAAGGGAGAACAUAGCCGCAAGGUAAUACUAAAAUGUGUUUAUUCAAUACCUUAUUAGCUCUUCAGCACUCAAUGACAAAAUCUGCUUCCCUUUAGACCACUGCUAUUUUGUCAUUUGAUUUACUUCCUUUCUUUGCUCCUUUCUCUCUUCUCUUUGUGAGUUUUCAAGUUUUUAACUUCUGUAAUUCUUUCCCUGCAGCAACUCCAAAUUCCCAAUCCUGUGGACUUCAUUAUCAACCCCUUGAAGAAGAUUAACAAGGGACAGGGGAGUUCAUACUUCUGAGUCACUGACUCAGGCUAUCUGCAGUCUCAGGCAGAUGUCAUGACAUCAGUUUCCCCUCAGUUCAUUUUUGGAAGAUUCUCUCUGCAGCCAUGAUGCCUUGAAACUUACCUUUCAUUUGAAAAAUAAUAACAUUAAAGAUUCUGCAGAGUCCUAGUAUGUCAUGAGGCCAUUUAAAUACACUAAGCUGGCUGAAUCCAGCAUGCACCUCUAAUCUAGAUAAUGACUGAGCCCAACUGCUUAGUUUGUGAAAUCUGGUGGAAUCAGAGAUGGCAUCCCCUAAAAGCCUUAUGACAUUUUUCUAAAGCUCAUAUAAAAUCAGAAGUCUAUGUACAGUACUUAUUUUCCACUAUUAAAAAACUGUU